AUCGAACGCUGGCGGCAGGCCUAACACAUGAAAGUCGAACGGUAACAGGAAGCAUCUUGGUGCUUUGCUGACGAGUGGCGGGUGGGUAAGUAAUGUCUGGGAAACUGUCCGAUGGAGGGGGAUAACUACUGACAGGGGUAGCUAAUACCGCGUAACGUCUCAAGACCGAAGGGGGGGGCCUUGUGUCCUCUGGCCGUCGGAGGUGCCCAGAUGGGAUUAGCUAGUAGGUGGGAUAGCGGCUCACCUGGGGGACGAUCCCUAGCUGGUAUGAGAGCAUGAACCGGGACACUGGAAGUGAGACACGGCAGAGACACCUAGGGGAGGCAGCGGUGGGGAAUAUUGCACGAUGGGGGCAAGCCUGAUGCAGGCAUGCCGGGUGUAUGCAGAAGGCCCUCGGGUUGUAAAGUACUUUCAGCGGGGAGGAAGGGAGUCACGUUAAUACCUGUGCUCAUUGACGUUACCGGCAGAAGAAGCACCGGCUAACUCCGUG
rnacentral:rRNA from 1 species